CUCCUGAGUAGAGAUCAGAGUUUCUCACUUUGCUAAAGAAUGUGUUGUGCCAAGCAGCUUUUCCCAGGAAUUAGAGAAAUAAGCCCUCUGCUUCUUUUUGUGCCAAAAUUGUUUUUCUAAAGCUUUACGUUAGAACCAAUAGAAUGAGUGUUUGAGAACCAUUUGUAACUUGGUUCCAUUUCUUCGACCACUAAAGCUUUUUAUUCUCCCUAAAAAUUCACAUUUUCGUGGCUGUUCCUUCUUAGCUUUGUGUUUCUUUUAAAGGAAUAUUAAUGUGUUUUUCAUGGCUUCCUAUUUCCCCAUUAAGUAAUUUUGUAAGCUGAGAGCUGCUCUUUUUGUGCUUCCUGCGGGGUCCAGCAUAGCUGAGUACACUUGGCACUGAGUGUCCUUAAUAACUGAAUUACACAAUGUGGACUUGGGGCUUCUGGUUGUCUGUUCAGUGGGGUCAUUGACGGAUCAGGUAGCUUCCAUGUUCUCUAAGAAAGUCCUUUCACUCACUAAAGAAAACUCAUAGCAAGGUUCUCCCUGCCCCCAUCCCCACAGGGAAGUACUUGGCAAAAAACAUUUUGGGUUUAUAGAUUUCUGAGGCAAAGGCUAUAUCUGUAUAUUUAUAUGCUAUAUAUAUUUGAUGUCUGUUUAAACAAUCUGGUACUUUACAGAACUUAAAUUGUCAUUUUAUGAAAAAUCUACUCCUUCUGCCAGCUGGUAAGGUGUACAUCUGUUUUGCCUGCCUUUGUUUUUCCAAGUAAAAGUGCUGACAACCAAUCAGAAUAUUUAUAGUUGUUAAUUUCUGGACCCUGAAUAGAAAAUAAUAUUAAGGAAAGCUACUUCAUAUAAGAAAGGAAUUUUUACUUAAUAGGAAGCUCUGAGAAGGAAAUGAUGUAGGGUUUCAAAACCAGGUUAAUAGUUACUAGGCUAAUAGUGAGUUAGCCAUAAGCCGAAAAGUAUUCAUCUGUUUUGUAACUUUUGCAGAAAUAACUUAGAAGAACUCUUGGUAAAUGAAAUGGGUCUGAAGGCAGUUUUUUAAACCACCAUCUUCCUAAUAUCUAAUUAAUCUCCUUACUCAGGACUUGGGAGGGCAUGAGUUAUAAGAGAAGAGUAAUCGUAUCUCUAAUACCUGGACACUGCUCUCUCUUGGUUGGUCUGAAUGAUUAGCAGUGUUUAAAUGGAAAGGCUUACUUUAGAAAAAAAAAGGUGCUAUAAGCAGAACAAUCUUAAAACUUCAAUUUUCUGAAAUGAUAGGUGUUAGAAUUUCUAGGUUUAGAUUCA